rnacentral:rRNA from 1 species
CCUACGGGAGGCAGCAGUGGGGAAUAUUGGGCAAUGGAGGAAACUCUGAACCAGCAAUGCCGCGUGAAGGAAGAAGGUCUUCGGAGUGGAAAGUUCCUUAGUCAGGGAAGAAGUCAAUGAGGGGACCUGAAGAAUAAGCUCCGGCGAACUACGUGCAAGCAGCCGCGGUAAUACGGAGGGAGCAAGGGUUGUUCGGAAUGACUUGGCGUAAAGGGUGCGUAGGCGGUUGGACAAGUUAGAAGUGAAAUACCCAGGGCUUAACUCGGGUGCUGCUUCUAAAACUGUAUGACUUGAGUGCAGUAGAGGUUAGUGGAAUUCCUAGUGUAGCGGUGGAAUGCGUAGAUAUUAGGAGGAACACCAGAGGCGAAGGCAGCUAACUGGACUGCAACUGACGCUGAGGCACGAAAGUGUGGGGAGCAAACAGGAUUAGAUACCCCUGUAGUC